CAAGAUUUACUUUCAGAUCAUCAGUGAGUUAAUUGAACAAAUGGCAAAGAUCUUGCCAAAAUCUGAGAAGAUGUCCUCUGACCUUACACUUCUUGCUGCUGCCAUGAGAAGAAGGAUGUUUGCUUCCCCCUCUGCCACGAUUGUUAAGUUUCCUGAGGCCUCCUGAGCCAUGCUGAACUUUUUUGAUGAGACCUGUGGAGAAUUUCAAGCUUUCUAAGAUAUAACAUGGAGCAUUGCUUCUUAAAGCAUGUGAGUUUAGUUUAUUGA